rnacentral:rRNA from 1 species
UGGAAGUAAAAAGUCGUAACAAGGUCUCCGUUGGUGAACCAGCGGAGGGAUCAUUACUGAGUUAUCAAAACUCCAAACCCUUUGUGAACCUUACCGUCGUUGCCUCGGCGUGAGCUACGGCUACCCUGUAACUACCCUGGAGCUACCCUAGAGUUACCCUAUAGCUACUCUGCACUUACCCUGCAGCUACCCUAUAGCUACCCUAGAGCUACCCUGGAGCUACCCUGUAGUCGGCUUCGGCCCGCCGAAGGACCGUUAAACUCUUGUUUUUACCACUGUUUCUCUGAAUUUUAAACCAAAAUAAGUUAAAACUUUCAACAACGGAUCUCUUGGUUCUGGCAUCGAUGAAGAACGCAGCGAAAUGCGAUAAGUAAUGUGAAUUGCAGAAUUCAGUGAAUCAUCGAAUCUUUGAACGCACAUUGCGCCCAUUAGUAUUCUAGUGGGCAUGCCUAUUCGAGCGUCAUUUCGACCCCUAAGCCCCUGUUGCUUAGCGUUGGGAAUCUACGGCGUAGUUCCUCAAAGUUAGUGGCGGAGUUAGGGUACACUCUCAGCGUAGUAAUUUCUCUCGCUCGUGUGGUGGCCCUGGCUGCUAGCCGUUAAAACCCCUAUAUUUUCUAGUGGUUGACCUCGGAUUAGGUAGGAAUACCCGCUGAACUUAAGCAUAUCAAUAAGCGGAGG